GCUUAGAUCUGGUAGAAAGUUUCAAGAGGCUGUGUAGCAGACUGCAGCCCACAGGAGUCCAUUCACAUGGAUCUCAUACACAAGCAGUGGACUUCAGAUGUAAAUGAAGAGGAAUAACCAGGGAGGCUUCCUUCAAGGGACAGUAAAGUGCCAAGAGCUGCACGAAGAGCACAGUGCAAAUGUUUUGAGAGUCUCCCACAAAAGGAUCUGUUGUUUUGGAUGAUGUAGGAUCACAACUUUCAGCAUUAUGAUGCCAAAGCAGUCACCAAACUGGACAGUGGAUUAGAUGACUGAGUUCCAUGGUUAUUUGCAUUUUUAUCCUGCGUUUCUGAUCCAGUAUCUGAUGUAUUUGGAUCUUCCCUGCUUCUCAAGUUCAGAUUAGUUUCAGCACCUGAUACAAACAGAGAAAAUGCUUGUCAGCCUCCUGUUAACUAGUGGCUUUCACAUGGAAGUAGAAAAAAAUCAAAUUAAUUUAA